rnacentral:rRNA from 1 species
AUACAGAGGGUGCAAGCGUUAAUCGGAAUUACUGGGCGUAAAGCGCGCGUAGGUGGUUUGAUAAGUUGGAUGUGAAAUCCCCGGGCUUAACCUGGGUCGGUCAUUCAAAACUGUCAGACUAGAGUAUGGUAGAGGGUAGUGGAAUUUCUAGUGUAGCGGUGAAAUGCGUAGAUAUUAGAAGGAACACCAGUGGCGAAGGCGACUGCCUGGACUGAUACUGACACUGAGGUGCGAAAGCGUGGGCAGCGAACAGGAUUAGAUACCCCAGUAGUCC